AUUCUGGUGUCCCAGGCAUAGAGGAACCACACCAACCCAUCCCGAACUUGGUGGUUAAACUCUACUGCGGUGACGAUACUGUAGGGGGAGCCCUGCGGGAAAAUAGCUCGGUGCCAGGAUGAUAAAAAGCUUAAUGCCUC
rnacentral:rRNA from 1 species